rnacentral:rRNA from 1 species
GGGAAUCUACCGUGCCCUGCGGAAUAGCUCCGGGAAACUGGAAUUAAUACCGCAUACGCCCUACGGGGGAAAGAUUUAUCGGGGUAUGAUGAGCCCACGUUGGAUUAGCUAGUUGGUGGGGUAAAGGCCUACCAAGGCGACGAUCCAUAGCUGGUCUGAGAGGAUGAUCAGCCACAUUGGGACUGAGACACGGCCCAAACUCCUACGGGAGGCAGCAGUGGGGAAUAUUGGACAAUGGGCGCAAGCCUGAUCCAGCCAUGCCGCGUGAGUGAUGAAGGCCUUAGGGUUGUAAAGCUCUUUUGUCCGGGACGAUAAUGACGGUACCGGAAGAAUAAGCCCCGGCUAACUUCGUGCCAGCAGCCGCGGUAAUACGAAGGGGGCUAGCGUUGCUCGGAAUCACUGGGCGUAAAGGGCGCGUAGGCGGCCGAUUAAGUCGGGGGUGAAAGCCUGUGGCUCAACCACAGAAUUGCCUUCGAUACUGGUUGGCUUGAGACCGGAAGAGGACAGCGGAACUGCGAGU